CACGUAGGGCGCAAGCGUUGUCCGGAAUUAUUGGGCGUAAAGAGCUCGUAGGUGGUUUGUUACGUCUGCUGUGAAAACCUAGGGCUUAACCCUGGGCUUGCAGUGGAUACGGGCAGACUAGAGGUAGGUAGGGGAGACUGGAAUUCCUGGUGUAGCGGUGAAAUGCGCAGAUAUCAGGAGGAACACCGGUGGCGAAGGCGGGUCUCUGGGCCACUACUGACGCUGAGAAGCGAAAGCAUGGGGAGCGAACAGG
rnacentral:rRNA from 1 species